AUACAGUAGACUGGUCGUAAUAUCGACAUAAUAACAGGUACAUACUUGGAAGUGAUAUACACAACGACGAAUCAUUCGUUAACAUCAGACACUUCUAAGGUUCUAAGGGGUCAAGAUUAUCAAGCCAACAUCGAUAAAAUGGAAAGGGAAUUGCAAAAUGACAGGAAACGGGGUGAAGAGGAUGAACUCCACAUCGCAAACUUGCAGGAUGAAUUGGAGAGGGCAAGGACAGAG